CGCACUGGGUGCGGCACGCCCACGCAACAACAAGGCUGCGGACAAUUGCGCAUCAGCUCACCUGGACCUGACGAGGGAGCGGCAUAAAAGCCAGUGGACCCAAGAGAUCUACGCCAGAAUGUAGCCAAUCUCCCCUGAUGUCUUCCCUCUUACCCGUGAUAGUGUCUUGCCUCACGACCCCCUACCGGAUCUUUGCUCGCCUCCCUCUACCCUCAACCACUGCCUGGACACGGACAUCGUUGCCUUUCUCCUGCCCUUGACAGCUUACCUCCCCGCUGACUGCCUCUUUGCCUUCCCCCUUGGAUUUGGUGAAAGAUUCACUCAACACGCACCGACAACAUCCACUGGUAAAUAUCACAUUGUUACUUCCACACAUCGUCCGCAUUCAUUCAUUAGUAGUAGCAUACACACCCCACAUAUUCAUCAAAUGUUUAAAUACACCUUCUAAACCGCA